GACGGGGGCCCGCACAAGCGGAGGAGCAUGUGGUUUAAUUCGAUGAUACGCGAGGAACCUUACCUGGGCUCGAACGUAAGAUGACUGUAGGUGAAAGCUUACAUCUCUUCGGAGCAUUUUACGAGGUGCUGCAUGGUUGUCGUCAGCUCGUGCCGUGAGGUGUCGGGUUAAGUCCCAUAACGAGCGCAACCCUACCUUUAGUUGCCAUCAGGUUAAGCUGGGGACUCUAAAGGAACUGCCUACGCAAGUAGUGAGGAAGGCGGGGAUGACGUCAAAUCAGCACGGCCCUUACGUCCAGGGCUACACACGUGCUACAAUGGCCGAUACAGAGGGCAGCUACCUGGUGACAGGAUGCAAAUCUCCAAAGUCGGUCUCAGUUCGGAUCGGAGUCUGCAACCCGACUCCGUGAAGCUGGAAUCGCUAGUAAUCGCGCAUCAGCCAUGGCGCGGUGAAUACGUUCCCGGGCCUU
rnacentral:rRNA from 1 species